CAGGGAGACAACAACUGAUCGUGAUGUCUGAGUUAUUGAUACUUAGGCCAUGAUCCUGUCACCUUAGGUCGAUCGGUACCUCAAGUUGAGAAUCAAAGAAAAGCUGAGUAAUCAGCUUGGAGAUUGAUGAUUGAUUUUAGUUCCUAAACUUGUCUAGGUCACACCCCGCAAGGGUUACUCCUGGGCCAUUAGCUCAGGUGGUUAGAGCGCACCCCUGAUAAGGGUGAGGUCCCUGGUUCAAGUCCAGGAUGGCCCAUUCGGUGUUGGGGGUUUAGCUCAGUUGGUAGAGCGCCUGCUUUGCAAGCAGGAUGUCAGCGGUUCGAGUCCGCUAACCUCCACUGACGAAUCUUCUGACAACGAGCCAAUGGUGAGAAUCGUUGUGUGAUGUGAUUUAGAAUUUAAGUUUGCUGGCAGACCCUAGCUUCUUAUCAUUCCAGGACUCAAUCAAUUGAGAUGAGGUUGAUAGGACGCUGGGCUCACUGUAAUUCGCAAGAAUUGCAGAGAUGUUCAGCAGAACCUUGACAACUGCAUAGGUAAGUCUGGAAAGAAUAAAGCAUCUCAUGGAUGCAUGAUUCUUGGGAAUCCGCUGAUGCAAUCUGCGCGAGCAGAGAGCUGAGGUUGAUCAACGAGAAUGAUGUUUGAUUCUUG
rnacentral:tRNA from 1 species